rnacentral:autocatalytically_spliced_intron from 1 species
AGGAGCCGUAUGCGGUAGUUCCGCGCGUACGGAUCUGUGCGGGGGGGGCGGCAGGUAACUGCCGUCCCUACCGCGAC